AUCAAUAAGCGGAGGAAAAGAAACUAACAAGGAUUCCCUGAGUAACGGCGAGUGAAACGGGACAAGCCCAGCACCGAAUCCACUGCCGCCUGUUGGCAGAGGGACCUGUGGUGUGUGGGACGGCAGCAUCGGGAUGGUGAGCUGGGCAUCUGCGUCUCCUUGAUCGGGGCCUCUCCCACGGCGGGUGUUGGGCCUGUACGCAUGCCUGGUCUACUCAUCUCCCUGCUCCGUCCUCGGAGUCGGGUUGUUUGGUAAUGCAACCUAAAGUGGGUGGUAAGCUCCAUCUAAGGCUAAAUACGACCACGAGACCGAUAGUCGACAAGUACCGUAAGGGAAAGUUGAAAAGAACUUUGAAGAGAGAGUUCAAUAGUACGUGAAACUGCUUAGAAGGAAACGGAUGGGCGUGCGCGUACCAUGCCACCCGGGGGAUUCAACUGGCCGUCAGCAGCAGCAGCGGGCUCGCUUCCAAGGAGGUGGACCCAUCCCUGCUCCGCCUGUGGCCGGUGCACGUCCGCCGUGCGUGGCAGCCGCGUCCGGUCGCCAUCCGCCCGUCGAGCCCGGGGACGAGAGCGUGGCGCAACGGCCGUCGGCACCUCGGUGUCGGCGGCACCAAACGUUGCCCGCGUCUCCCACGACCGGGGCACUCGCUGGCGGGAGGCGACCGAGCACAUGCAGUCUAUGUUGGCACCCGACGCGGCGUGCGGUGGACGCGCGACGGCAGCACCCCUCACGGGCGCACGGUCGUCGUUAGCGUACGCGUCAGCACGCCGCACCACUGGGAGCUACGCGGUUUUGGUCAGUCACCAACCCAUCC
rnacentral:rRNA from 1 species